UUUUCAUUCUGCUUUAAGCUUAUGCACACUAAUUGUCUUAUAUAGCUCUAUCUGAUUCCAAGUGUUUGAUGACGGAUGAAGGAGAAGCUCCCUCCUACAGAUUCAAGACUCAGACCAGACCAAAGGCAUCUGGAAAAUGGGGAAUUUGACAAGGCAAAUGAGGAAAAGCUUCGUUUGGAAACGCGACAAAGAAUGUCGAGGAAAAUGCAAGAACAUGGUUGGAAACCAAGAUGGUUCGAAAGAGUUGGAGAAGGACCUUUCCGCUACAUUGGCGGAUACUGGGAAGCCCGGAACAAGGGAUGUGGAACGGAUGCCCAAAUGUUUUCGACGAGAUAACUGAAGACAUAAUAAAUUCCUUGGAGCCUUCUUAACCUUGGAGAGAAAGAGAGCUUGGGAGAGUUGGUAGCAGCAUGCUCAUAGAUGAAAUGGAGCUUAAUUUCUUCGGAAAACUCCUUUAAAUUCGAUCAAAUAUUUUUUUAGAGUCGGCUAAUUACGGAAAAAAAAAAAAAAAAAGAAGAAGCAAAGGCAGUACUAUAAUGUGACAUUCUACCUCACAAGACUUAUGCGAUCUACCAUUUUACUCCCA